GCCGGCACACGCGCGUGGAGGGCCAUGACUCAGGACCGUGAGCGGCUCCAGGUGCCCCGUCCGCAUCCCCCACCGGCUAGGACCCGCCCCUUCCUGGCCGCCCUGUGCCAUCUGCGGGUCCACCUCCCCUGCCCCACGAGGGUGUCUCCUUUAGGAGUCAAGUGUCCCUCCUGGCAUUCCAGGUUGAAUCCCUUUGAGAACGUUGGUUUCAGUGAUGGAUUCUGGCUGUGAAGCAUCGCUGGGGUUCUGAGUCACGGAAAAGGCAUUAAGCCUUCUAGUCCGCCUCCCCUCCCUACCCGCCAGCACCCCUGCCUCCCGGCAACAGCCAGUCUCCCGCACUUCUAGGUCUGUCCGUCCUUCUUCCCAAGUGAGUUCUAGUCCCUUCCGCGCGGUUUUGCACAAACAACAGCACACCAGAUGUGUUUUUUCAAAUACUUUUUGUUCACCGGCUACAGCUAGGGUUCAGCUCCUCUUCUCCGUGGUGUGGUUAGUAUCCACUGGGCAGCGUCUGAUGCCAGAAGGCCCGUGUCCGAGCUGGGCCGCCUUCCCCAGGCAGCCUCUCCCCGAGGCGCUCGGAGUCCCUGGGAGCGCAGCUGGCCCAGAGCACACCCCCGCCUCCCGCUAUCCGAGCAGGCCGGUCCCCGGAAGGGAACUCAGGGACACCGACCCGCUGAAACGUGGCGGCCAUGCUCCAGCUGCCGGCCACCAGCUGUGGUGCCCGUUUCUUGGAGAACCAGCACACCCCAGAAAUUCCCGUUUGUUGAGACCUCUUGGUCCUUUUGAGAAGCCUCACGGGGCUGCAGCACGGGAGCCCCGUGGCAUGUGCACCCGACCAGCUGCGCAUACGCACUGCGCCACCACGGAGCAUAUGUUACUGGACAUGCUCCUGUAGGUUGUCAGGCCUCCAGAGGUUCAUCUUCAGGACAGAUUCCUACGAGUGGGUCACCGGUCAGAAGGAGCGAGCAGGUGGCUUUCCAGGUGCCUGAUUUCUCUCCAGAGCCGUAGCCUCCUGUGCUCCCAGCGCCCCAGUGCCCCACUGGAGCUUGCAGGUGUCUGGACCAGAAACCGCGUUCAGGAUGACCAGCUCUGUGGCCGGAUUUCUUAACAUAAUCCAAGCACGUGCACUUGCUCCUCAGUGAAUUCAGCGGCAAGUACAAAGGGCCAUCUGCGAGACCCCAAGGCCUGCAGCGCUAUUAUCCCUCCCAAACGCGAGGACACACACACACACACACAAUCCACGCAAACACAGCGCUUCGAGGAGUCCAAUGUCCACCUUCACGCUGAGUGGGAGAGGCCUCGAGAAGGCCUAAGCCCCAAUCCCCAUGUCACUCCGAAAAGCACUUUCCCAACAGCCCUGGAGGCCUUCUGCCCAGUUCUGCUCACUGCUCAGUGCCACCGAGACGGGGACGAACGGCUGCCUUGCAGAGGACCCCCAGUGGCCCAGGCGAUGGCUCGGGAAAGCCACAGGGCAGCGCCCAACGCUGAAGACGGGGGGUGGGGGGGUGCCCUCGCGCGGCCCUGCUGGCUGUGGCCCUCACAGGCAGGCGCUCCAGACCCAGCAGCGGAAGAACGAGCCCCCGUUCCCAGCGAAAGGCAAAUCCACCCGCUGUGAGUCACACAGGACUGGCUAGGCCGAAGCACGUCCGCGUCACUGGGAGCCUCACCUUUGCUGGCGGAGUCCCACGAACAAUUCUUCUCCCAGUGAGGCAGCGGUCCACAGCUGGGUCCAGGGUCAUCAUUUAAAUUCUCUUGUAGACAGAGGUUUGCUUAGAACGAAGCUGAUUCUAGGAGA